CACAGCCGGCGUGCGGGCUCGGAGCACGCCAGGCCUCGCAGAUCAAAGGGACCUCUCCGGCCUCCGCACAAGGGAGAGGGAAGGGGGAAAAAAAAAAAAAAGGUUGAUUUCUUUAACGAUUGUUCGUAAAAAGUCUUGGAAGCGGGGACCAUCCCGUCUCCUCCUUCGCCUCGGGCUGCAGGAUUGCACCGGGAAACGAUUUUGGAAAGUUAAGACCUUCCUAGACAUGGCAUUGGAAAAAAAGCCCAAACCAACACCAAGCGGGCUGGGCUGUGUGAAGCCGACUCGACGCCACGGACAUCCCGGCUCCCUCCCCUCCCGAAGGCAGCCCCCCUCUGUCUCCGGCUUCUCUCCUUUCCGAGGUCCUUUCAAGCUUUAUUUCAUUUCAAGCCGCCAAAGCGGCACUGACAGAAUAAAGUUAUCAAGGAAAUAAGCUCGACAGAAAAAGCCAGUGGUGCUUUUCCCCCCCGGACCUGCUCCUUGCAGUGGAGAUUUUCCUUGCUGUCGAUCCGUGGCCUUCCCCGCGGAUUUUCGAAGAGCGCUUUUAAAAUCCUCCGUUCUCCUGAGUCCUUUUUUCAGCGGGUUUUCAUUUCUCCCGUCUCCGAUCUAAAAAGCAAGCAGAAAAAAAUCUCGAACCUUAAAUACAAAUACAAACCAGGUCAGGAGGCCCCCCCGCUCCGCUUGCUGGAGGGGGUGGGGGUAGGGGCUACCCCUAGGAAAAGUGAAAAGCUUGUUUUAAUGGGCGGUCAUUGCUAAAUCUCACCUUAGGGCCAAAACGACUCGCGACCCAUUGCCCUCCUUACGAUGUAUUUAUUUGUCUCAGUGGCACCAGCCGUCAGUCAUUAGUGGGGGGGUUAACCCCGAGAGCCGCCCCACGGUGGUGGCGGUGGUCUUGUGGCUUUUUGGUUUGUUUUAAAUACGAUUUCUCAGCAGGAACCUCUCCAGAAGAGGAGGAAUAACCUGUCCCUAGAGGGCUGCUCGGUGGAACACGGGGGGAACACGCGUGGAAGCGCAGCGAGCGACGACCCCUCCGAAAACACUUUGGUCUGAGCAAGCGGGAUUCGGUUUGCACCCCGAAGGGUUCGCUCUCAGGAAAAGCGGCGCUUGGGCCGGCAGAGAUGUUAUUUAAUGAAUAACGACGCUUUCCAGUAUUAACAAUAACGGAGGCGAAAACAAAUGCAGAAGCCCGAGUGCCGGAGGAGCCAGCGGAGCCCGCGGGCAGCCGAGCGAGCAGUCGCCGUCCCCGGGACCCCGAGUGCAGCCGGGCAGCAGCUCCGGACCCCCGCACGGCCGCGGCUGUGCUCGCAUGCACGCAGGUCUGUGGUUACAGUCACUCCACGAGCUCCAGAGCCGCUCCGUAGCUGUAUAUCCUUUUAUUUAGAUACAGCUUUCUCUUCACGUAAAGUGUAUGAAGUGCUAAGAACCUUUAUAUAGAUUUCAAAUAUUUAUGUAGUUCAGAUACGCGUGUGUGCGUGUCUGUCGUUAUAUAAAGACGGUGCAAAGA